AAUUUUAAUGUGUUUCUUUUUUUCUCUAGUUUAAUUGCUAUGUAGUGGCAAUAUUAGUUCUUUCACAUGCAUAUUGCAUGAUAUGAUUGGUUGCACUUCUCUUUCCGUUUGUUCUUGCAUAAGUUGGAUCUGUUAGAUUUUCUCUCUUCUUUUUUAUCAUUUGGUUUCCUUGGCAUGGUUUUUAUUCUGCUGGAAGGCAGGGCUCAUAUACUGGCUGAAAAGUGCUUGAAAUGGGUUGAAAAACUGUAUCAUGGUUCAGAUAUACAGUGUUAUGGUAGUUCAUAUAUACUGAGGGUAGGUUCCACAAAUCCGCCGCAACAACAACAGCAACAAAUUCCUCUCUCAAUUAUUGCUAACAGCUCUUUCAGCUGAUCUAAGUCCAUAAUUUACUUCAUCUUUUGUUUUACUUAAAAAAAUCUGCAACUGAGUUGAUAUAAAUUGAUUGUUUUUUUAAUAUGUGGAGCCUAAUAAUCUACUAGUGAUUUGAUGCAUAAUGAUCCCAAAUAAAAAAUGACUGGAUGGUCAUAUAUGCUGCAACUUUUGUCUCUGGAUUCUGGAAAUUGAGGCUUAGAUGGAUGAUGCAUGUGGUUACUGUCACUGUCCAGUUCCACUGCCCCUUUGUGGAAUUUAGCUCACCAGGUUGGAACAUCACAAACCUGGGGCAUUCAGCUACAUAUGGCAAGUUAUGUCGAAG
rnacentral:misc_RNA from 1 species